rnacentral:rRNA from 1 species
UACGUAGGGUGCGAGCGUUGUCCGGAAUUAUAGGGCGUAAAGAGCUUGUAGGCGGUUUGUCGCGUCUGCUGUGAAAAUCCGGGGCUCAACCCCGGACUUGCAGUGGGUACGGGCAGACUAGAGUGUGGUAGGGGAGACUGGAAUUCCUGGUGUAGCGGUGAAAUGCGCAGAUAUCAGGAAGAACACCCGUGGCUAAGGCGGCUCUCUAGUACGGUACUGACGCUGAGACGCGAAAGCGUGGGGAGCGAACAGG